rnacentral:sRNA from 1 species
AUGCUUGUUAAGAAGGAAAUUCUUUGUUUGGGUACAGCACAGGGCAGCACGGGGAGCAGCAGCCCAAAGCCUCCUAUGUAGCUCUAUCAGAUGUCUCAUCCCUGACCUGGAAUGCAGGGAGGGAGGUGAAAGGUUAGUCCAUUCUUCAUGCUCAUUCAAUACUUCACUUCU